AUGACUGGAAUCUGUUAAAUUUAGGCGGAAUCUCUGAGAGCCUGGAAUUUGUGGAUUCGGUGGAAUACCCUUGGUGUCCAACGAAAUUCUGGGCGGAAUCCACCUUAAUUAAGCAGCUACUAGGGAAGAUUUAAUGAAGGAAGAUGAGGAAGUGGAGAAAAAGCUGAAGAACAAGGAGGACAAGGUGAAGAAAGGACAAGGGCACAGUGACUUGCAGUGUGUGUCAUGUAACAUUAUUACAACAUCUAUAUCAUGGGUCCAUAAUUUUGAGUAAGUCAUUCAUCAACCACUUUAUCUGUACUGGAAACCAUUUCUGAGAGGGAUGAAGUGAUGGAAGAUAAUGAGCCAGAGGGUGGAACGGAAGAGAAAGGGAAAGAAAUAAAGAAAAAGGCAGAAUGAAAAAGGACUAGAACUUGCAAUAGAAGAAAAAGUUGAGGAAAUGAAGAGGAAGAAAUUGAAGAUGAAAAGAAGAGCUCUGGGAGGAAAAAAUUCCAUUUGUAAGAUGUGUGGACAAAAGAAAAACAGCCAUAGAGUGCCAAUGUGGAGUGGAAUAAGUCAGUAUGACUUAAACAUGGUCAAUUGAAGUGUUUGAAUGCCCCUCCAGAAAGCAGAACAAUCUUUGAAUUUGCAGGAAAGAGUAUAAAAUUUGCUGUUAAAAUAUCAUAACAGCUAGACAAAGAUUAAAUAACAACUACAUGUACAUCUAAAGAAUUCUUUUGUCAUAAUAGUGAUUCAUGUGCUAGUACAUGUGACAAGUGCUAUAACGACCUAAUAUAAGUGUGUUUUAGGAGCAUGUUGACUCUAUUGUAAAUGUAUUGACUCCUUAUAUGACCUCAUUUAUAUAUAAGAUUAUAUGAAUGGUAGUGUAGUGACUUGAAAUGUGUGUUAGUAGUAUAGCUCGUUAUGUGUGGUAAUUUUGUUAUUAGUUUUACAUGUAUGAUAGUACAUAUAGUAUGGUGACUCAUGUGUUGGGAAUUAAUGUAUAAUUUUAUGUGUGUUACUGGUAUAACUCAUAAUGUGUGUAAAUAUUGUUUUUUGUAAUAUAUAUUAGUAGUGUAGUGACUCGACAUGUGUGUAAGUAGUGUAGUGACUCGACAUGUGUGUUAUGAGUGUAGCUUAUGAUGUGUGGUUAUUUUGUGUACGUAUGUAGUAUGGUGACUCGUGUGUUAGGAAUGUAUAAUUUUAUGUAUGUUACUGAUAUGCCUCAUCGUGUGAUUUAAAAUGGUUAUUUGUAAUGUAUAUAUUAGUAGUAAAGUGACUCGACAUGUGUGUUAGUAGUGUAGUGACUCGACAUGUGUGUUAGUAGUGUAGCUUAUUAUGUGUGGUAAUUUUGUUAUUUGUUAUGUGAGUUGUACAUGUAGUAUGGUGACUCAUGUGUUGGGAAUGUAUAAUUUUAUGUGUGUUACUUGUAUAACUCAUUGUGUGUGUUUUAAUAUAGUUAUAUGUAGUGUAUAUAUUAGUAUUGUAGUGACUCCACAAGUAUGUUAGUGUGUAGUGACAUGACAUGUGUGUUAGUAGUGUAGUGACUCGACAUGUGUGUUUGAAGUGUAGCUUAUUAUAUGUGGUAUUUUUGUUAUUUGUUAUGGUUGUUGUAUAUGUAGUAUGGCAACUCAUGUGUUGGGAAAGUAUAUUUUAAUUUGAUGUGUGUUACUGGUAUAGCUCAUUGUGUGUUUUAAUAAUUUUUUUUGUAAUGUAUAUUUCAUUAGUGUAGUGACUCGACAUGUGUGUUAGUAGUGUAGUGACUCGACAUGUGUGUUAGUAGUGUAGUGACUCGACAUGUGUGUUAGUAGUGUAGCUUAUUAUGUGUGGUAAUUUUGUUAUUUGUUAUGUGUGUUGUACAUGUAGUAUGGUGACUCAUGUGUUGGGAAUGUAUUAUUAUAUUCUUGCUCCAAAAGAUACUGUUUUACCCUUGUCUGUCUAGCUGUGUGUGUGUCUGUCUGACUGUCCAUAACAAAUUUUUGGUCACAGUUUUCUCAGCAACUACUCAUUGCAGAUGCUUGAAAUUUUAGCAUACUCUUUGUUUAGGCUUGGUGGGAAUCAUUUUCAUACAAAUCUGAUGUCAACUUCCUGUUUAUCCAUGUGUCUGUCCAUACCACACAUAACACAUUUUCGUCGCAGUUUUCUAAGCACUACUUAUUGCUUGAAAUUUUAGCACACUCAUUGCUGAGGCAUGUCAUAUGGUGGGAUUCAUUUUUGUAUGAAUUUGAUGCCAACUUCCUUUUUAUCUGUGCGUCUGUCCGUACCAUACAUAACGAAUUUUUUUUCGCAGUUUUUUCAGCAAUUACUCAGAGCAGAUGCUUGAAAUUUUAGCACAUUCUUUAUUUUGGCAUGCCAUAUCGUGGGAUUUAUUUUUGUACAAGUCUGAUGUCGACUUCCUGUUUAUCUGUGUGUCUGUCUAUACCAUAUAUAACAAAUAUUUGUUGCAGUUUCUCAUCAACUACUUAUUGCAGAUGCAUGAAAGUUUACACACUCUUUGUUUAGGCAUGCCAUAUGAUGGGAUUCAUUUCUGAAUUUGAUGUCAACUUCCUGUUUAACUGUGCGUCUGUCUGUAUAAUAUGGAACAAAUUUUUGUCAAAGUUUUCUCAGCAACAACUCAUUGCAGAUGCUUGAAAUUUUAGCACACUCUUUGUUGACGCAUAAUUGUCAUAUGGUGGGAUUCAUUUUUGUAUGAAUCUGAUAUCAACUUCCUGUUUAUUCAUGCAUCUGUCCAUAGUUGAACUUGUGAAUAUACACAUGAUAGUGUAUAUUCAAAUCACAGCGGAGGUAUUACCAGUGAGCAUUGGCUCACAGACUUCUUGUUUUAUGUGUGUUACUGGUAUAGCUCAUCAUGUGAUUUAAUGUUGUUAUUUGUAAUGUAUAUAUUAGAAGUGUAGUGACUCGACAUGUGUGUUAAUAGUGUAGUGACUCGACAUGUGUGUUUGUAGUGUAGCUUUUUAUGUGUGGUAAUUUUGUUAUUUGUUAUGUGUGUUGUACAUGUAGUAUGUUGACUCAUUACGUGUGGGGAAUAUGUGAUUUUAUGUGUGUUAUUGGUAAAGCUCCUCAUGUGUUCUUAUAUUGUUAUUUGUAAUAUACAGUGAAACUUGUCUUAUUCGGAUGUUGUGUACUCCAAAAACUUGACUUAUACAAUGUUAACUUUAAGUCACCUGCAGUAGACUCAAUUGUUUUAAAUGUUGUCUAAUCCGGAAUGUCGUUUAAUCCAGCGAAUUUCUCGACAUGUGUGUAAGUAGUGUAGUGACUCGACAUGUGUGUAAGUAGUGUAGUGACUCGACAUGUGUGUUAUGAGUGUAGCUUAUGAUGUGUGGUAAUUUUGUUAUUUGUUAUGUGAGUUGUACAUGUAGUAUGGUGACUGGUGUGUCGGGAUUGUAUAAUAUUAAAUGUGUUACUUGUAUAACUCAUUGCGCGAUUUAAAACUAUUAUUUGUAAGGUAUAUAUUAGAAGUGUAGUGACUCGAUAUGUGUGUAAGUAGUGUAGUGACUCAACAUGUGUGUAAGUAGUGUAGUGACUCGGCAUGUGUUUUAUGAGUGUAGCUUAUGAUGUGUGGUAAUUUUGUUAUUUGUUAUGUGAGUUGUACAUGUAGUAUGGUGACUGGUGUGUCGGGAUUGUAUAAUUUUAAAUGUGUUACUUGUAUAACUCAUCGUGCGAUUUAAAACUGUUAUUUGUAAGUUAUAUAUUAGAAGUGUAGUGACUGGACAUGUGUGUAAGUAGUGUAGUGACUCGACAUGUGUGUUAGUAGUGUAGUGAAUCAACAUGUGUGUUAGUAGUGUAGCUUAUUAUGUGUGGUAAUUUUGUUAUUUGUUAUGUGAGUCGUACAUGUAGUAUGGUGACUCGUGUGUUGGGAAUGUAUAAUUUUAUGUGUGUUACUUGUAUUGCUCAUCGUGUGAUUUAAAAUUGUUAUUUGUAAGGUAUAUAUCAGUAGUGUAGUGACUCAACAUGUGUGUAAGUAGUGUAGUGUCUUGACAUGUGUGUAAGUAGUGUAGUUACUUGACAUGUGUGUUAGUUCUGUAGUGACUCGACAUGUGUGUAAGUAGUGUAGCUUAUUAUGUGUGGUAAUUUUGUUAUUUGUUAUGUGAGUCGUACAUGUAGUAUGGUGACUCGUGUGUUGGGAAUGUAUAAUUUUAUGUGUGUUACUUGUAUUGCUCAUCGUGUGAUUUAAAAUUGUUAUUUGUAAGGUAUAUAUCAGUAGUGUAGUGACUCAACAUGUGUGUAAGUAGUGUAGUGUCUUGACAUGUGUGUAAGUAGUGUAGUUACUUGACAUGUGUGUUAGUUCUGUAGUGACUCGACAUGUGUGUAAGUAGUGUAGCUUAUUAUGUGUGGUACUUUUGUUAUUUGUUAUGUGAGUUGUACAUGUAGUAUGGUGACUCAUUUGUUGGGAAUGUAUAAUUUUAUGUGUGUUACUGGUAUGGCUCAUUGUAAGUUUUAAUAUUGUUACAUGUAUUUGUAAUACAUAUUUUGUAUUGUUAUUUUGAUUUGUUUGUUGUACAUGUAGCAUGGGAUUCAUUUUGUGUUGGGAAUGUAGAAUUUUACCUGCGGUAGUGUACAUGUAGCUCAUUUUGUGUGCUAAUAUUGUUAUUUUUAUGUGUAAUAGUCAUGUAGUGACUCAAUAUGUGUGUAAGUAGUGUAGCUCAUUAUGUGUUUUCAUGUUGAGUUAGUUUAGAAGAGUGUUGACUUACUGUGUAAGUUAGAGUAGCCUCUUGCUAUGUGUGAGCAUAAUAUAAAAAGACACUUUUUUAUGAUGAGUAUAUAAUUAUUAAAACAUUGCUAAAUAUAAUAUUAUAUCAACCUCUAUUGAUAAACUUGCAUGUGUUUGAAUUUCUAAUGUAAUGUAAGCUACAUGAAUAGAUCAUAUUUUGACUGAAUUUUGAAUGAGCACAAUUUGUGAUGAUUUUUAUUUUUGAAAUAAACAGAAAUUUAAUUUUC